ACGUUAUGUGGGCGACUCUAAGGAGACUGCCGGUGACAAACCGGAGGAAGGUGGGGAGUGACGUCAAGUCAUCAUGGCCCUUACGGCCUGGGCUACACACGUGCUACAAUGGUCGGUACAAAGGGUUGCCAAGCCGCGAGGUGGAGCUAAUCCCAUAAAACCGAUCGUAGUCCGGAUCGCAGUCUGCAACUCGACUGCGUGAAGUCGGAAUCGCUAGUAAUCGUGAAUCAGAAUGUCACGGUGAAUACGUUCCCGGGCCUU
rnacentral:rRNA from 1 species